GUUUCUUUAGUUGAAUAACAACGGUGGUUUUUCAAGUCAUUGGUCCUGGUUAAAGUCCUGGAGGAAAU
rnacentral:tRNA from 2 species